rnacentral:rRNA from 1 species
GACGAACGCUGGCGGCGUGCCUAAUACAUGCAAGUGGGACGCAAGGGAACACACUGUGCUUGCACACCGUGUUUUCUUGAGUCGCGAACGGGUGAGUAACGCGUAGGUAACCUGCCUAUUAGCGGGGGAUAACUAUUGGAAACGAUAGCUAAUACCGCAUAAUAUUAAUUAUUGCAUGAUAAUUGAUUGAAAGAUGCAAGCGCAUCACUAGUAGAUGGACCUGCGUUGUAUUAGCUAGUUGGUAAGGUAAGAGCUUACCAAGGCGACGAUACAUAGCCGACCUGAGAGGGUGAUCGGCCACACUGGGACUGAGACACGGCCCAGACUCCUACGGGAGGCAGCAGUAGGGAAUCUUCGGCAAUGGACGAAAGUCUGACCGAGCAACGCCGCGUGAGUGAAGAAGGUUUUCGGAUCGUAAAGCUCUGUUGUAAGUCAAGAACGUGUGUGAGAGUGGAAAGUUCACACAGUGACG